rfam:Ovis aries breed Texel chromosome 7, whole genome shotgun sequence.
UCCCUGGCAGUCCAGUGGUUAGGACUCUGGGCUCCUACUGCCAGCAGCUCAGGUUUGACCCCUGGUUGGGGAA